rnacentral:misc_RNA from 1 species
AGGUGGCAAACGGCAACGGCGGCUAAAGGCCAGAGCGCGAAAUAUAUACAUAAGUAUAUGUAUAAUUUAAGAGAUACAUAUACAGAAUAUAGCCCAUGGUAUAUAUGUACAUAAGUCUUAUACUAUAUAUGGAGCAAUAUUUAAGUGAAGAAUUCUCAGUUUGACAAAAAGCGAAAUGUGAAAAUUGACGUUGUGCGAUACGUAUUUGUGUGUGUUGUGUGUCUUUGUGUGUGCAUGUGGGUGUGUUGGUCAUGAAAGUUACAUGCCCCACCGUACAGCAGCGAAAAAGAAAUUAAACUGAAACAAAUCUACAGUCGAGUAAUUUGACUCGACAACAGGCACAGCCACAACCACAGCCACAGCCACAGCCACAGCCAUAGCCAUGGUGAUAAGCAAACCCGACUCGUCGACAAAUGGGGCGCCGGCGGAAGCGGCUGCAGGUGCAGCUGCAGGUCUGGAUGCUUCUGCGAAUAGCAUGGGACAUAGGUCGGGCAUACCACAGGACCAAAUAGACAAUAUUUUGAGUGGCAUAUCCAACACGGGGGAUGUCAAAAUGAACAAUCAUCGCAAGAAGCUGCGGCAAAGAUUUGAUAUUAUUAAAAAGUUGGGUCAAGGCACAUAUGGCAAAGUGCAGCUUGGUAUUAAUAAGGAAACGGGCCAGGAGGUGGCCAUCAAAACGAUAAAGAAAUGUAAAAUCGAGGCUGAGGCAGAUCUCGUGCGCAUUCGGCGAGAGGUGCAAAUCAUGAGCUCAGUGCAGCAUCCCAACAUUAUACACAUAUAUGAAGUAUUUGAGAAUCGCGAGAAAAUGGUGCUGGUCAUGGAGUUUGCCGCUGGCGGUGAGCUAUACGACUACCUGUCCGAACGCAAGGUGCUUAGCGAGGAGGAAGCACGUCGCAUCUUUCGUCAGGUGGCUACGGCCGUCUACUAUUGUCACAAACACAAGAUAUGCCAUCGCGAUCUGAAGCUGGAAAAUAUACUGCUCGAUGAACAGGGCAAUGCCAAGAUUGCCGACUUUGGCCUGUCUAAUGUGUUCGACGAUCAGCGCCUGCUCGGAACUUUCUGCGGAUCACCAUUGUAUGCCUCGCCGGAGAUUGUAGAAGGCACACCCUACCAGGGACCCGAGGUGGACUGCUGGUCCUUGGGCGUGCUGCUCUAUACUCUAGUCUAUGGUUCCAUGCCCUUUGAUGGUUCCAAUUUCAAAAGACUUGUCAAACAGAUCAGCCAGGGCGACUACUAUGAGCCACGCAAGCCGUCGCGUGCUUCGACACUCAUUCGGGAAAUGUUAACGGUGUCUCCACAGAAGCGAGCCACCAUCGAGCAAAUUUGCUCGCAUUGGUGGGUGAACGAGAACGACAAUGUCUCCUGCCUUGAUUUGGCUGAGGAUUUGGCUAAUCAAACGCCGGUACGCCUCGAUGUACUCCUGUCACUGACACCUGCUGCCAUUACCGCAGAUCAGCUCGUGGUACCAUCAGCAGAGGGCGCAGCUGCCGCAGCAGCAGCCGCUAAGGCUGCGGCCAAUGAGCGCGUUCAACGCUCGCAUUCGGUGGGCUCUAUACGUGAUAUUGGUGGGCCCAACACAGAGGCAGAGCGCCGCAUUCUUGACAUGGUUGCUGCUGGUGGUGAAGCUGCACUGAUGCCUUCACCCACACGCACCAUAACACCCGCCCAGAGCCCCGUGCAAGCCAAGCGCAAGCUGCAGCCCACGGUUUCCACCGAGAACGCUGCCGGCACCACAGCCAAAAAGAAGGAGAAGCCGGCCAACAGUUCAUUUGUGGUCAGCGAAGCCACAGCACAAUCACUUGCGCCACCAACACCAACUGCACCACUUACACCAACACCAAUAACGGCGCCCCAGGCUAUGGAGACUGAGAGCUUUACCCCUGCUGACGAGCAGUCAACGUCCACGACGGCGCCCAGCUACUCGCCACAGGAUAUGCAGCAAGUUGGCAAUCUAUGCGAGCAACUUAUUAGCGAACCUGUUGCACCACUCGCCAAUGCGUUACCGCGACAGUCAACACGUCCCAAACUAGAUGCGGUGGUAGAAACACCCGAGGAGAAGGACGCCACCAAAGUGAUAAAAAAAUUUGUGAACAAACACAAGACCGCCGAUUUGGUGAAUGCGAUCAAUGAGAGUGCCACAGGAAAAGCCACGACCAGCAGCAAUUCUGCAUCGCAGCCGCCCCCCCUAGCACCCUUCGUCCGUAAGUGUAGCCUGCAGGAUGAGUCCACACUCAACAAGUUCAAUGCGGAUCGUCGCAAGUCACGCAUCCUAGAAACAGCAGAGAAGUUUCAACCGCCGCCUCCAAUAUCGACAGCGCCAGAGAAGCCUAAAAAGCUCAGCAUACCCGGCGUUAGCGUAGGCAGUUUUAAGAAGGAGUUCGAGCGCAAGGCCAUAAACCCGACUCCUGUGGCCGGACCCACACCAGGUGAGCGUCGCGCUCUGGAGCAGGUGGCCGCCGCAGCUGCUGCGGCUCAAGAGGCUGAGGCACAGGAAGCCUUGGUCACUCCACCACCUUCGCCAGUGUCUGGAAACCUAGAGGCCAGCGAUUCCAAGAACUCCGUGACCUCCAUUUCGCUUGAAGAGGCGCGUCGCUCUAUGGAGAACUCGAUUGCGCUGCUGCAACAGGCUCAGAACGAGUCCAACAAGGAACUGGACCAGCUCUGCGCCCAAACAGAGACAAUUGGCGUUAGCGAAAUAACAGCGGAGGAGCGCGAGCGUAAGUUGAAGAAUGCACGCGCCAUAAUCGGAAACGCCAUACAGCCGGUGAUACGCAGGCCAACACCAUUAUUUGGCAUCGGCAAUGGCUUCGGCAGUGGCGCUGGCGCCGGCGGAAUUGGGGGCGGUGCAAUGUUACCGUUGCGCACUGAGAGCAGCAACAAUUUCACUGGCAAUGUUAGCAGCAGUCCAACCAGUGCGCCACCAAUUGCUUUAGCAGCUGCUAAGCAUAUGAUACAACAGCGACUCUUUUCGGGCGGCGUUCCUGGAGGGGCGAUAUCGACGCCACCACGGGCGGUCAUUUGGCAGCCACAAACGGCGUAUAGCACGGCAAGCAUAUUCCAGCCGUUGCCCACAAGCAGUCCAUUCAGGCAACUGCAGCAGCAGUACCAGCAGAAGUGCCAGGAGGCACAGCAGCAUCAGCGAUUUGCCAGCAGUGCCUUAUUUACGCCACCGCCCUCGCCGCUGUAUGCCCCCAGCCAUGCCCACGUCCAUGCCAGCAGCAACAGCAACAACAAUACGAUGCCAAUUAUCAAUUACAAUGUCAGCUCGCGUACGAGACCAUUUCAUAAUCAAGCUCAAGACACUCUUAAUACAUCUGCCUUGCCUGCGGCUAUGUGGCUGAAAUCUUCACCGGGCGGCGAUGCCUCAUUAGGCAGCGCAGUGAAAACGUCUACCGCAUCCAUUACGCUCAAAUCAGCGACGUUGCCACGUCGCAAAAUUAAUGCCAAAUCAGAGGUGCAGCUGGAAAUCAAGCCGCGUAUUCCUGAGCAGCCGCAGCCGGCGAUGCGCUUCAGCACCGAAAUGCAGCAUCCAGUGGCUGAUUUGCGCAGUGCGCCACCUCGCGAGGGUCCCAUACCAUACAGUCCCAUCAAGACCUCACUGCAGGCGCGAGCCACAAGCUUAGAGCCCAAAGAGCACAUCAUAACCAUACAGCGGCCACCAACACAGCAAGCUUAUGGACGCACCAACUCCAACACCACAAAUCGUUCUGGUUCGCUGUCACGUCAAUCCACUGCUGAAUCCGAGACGGAAACAGCAACGACCAUGUCGCAAUCAACUGUUACUGGCGGUUCGGGCAUCUCGCAGCCUAUUAAGAAGAGUCCACGCGAAGUAAUUAUACCGAUUUCCGUGGAGGGUAGAGGCUUAAUCACGCCACGUGAGCGCAGCAUUGAGCCUUCCGAGUCAGUUCACACAACCGCCUCCAGUCGCUCAACAUUCAGCCGACUGCGUCCAUCGCAUCGGAUUGGCUCACUCCUCAGUGAGAGCGGGUUCGAUGAGAGUUCGCCAUUCCAGAAGAUGCGCACAACUUCUAUUACUCGUGAUGGCGGCGAUGAUGAGUCGCUUUUUACCCCGCACAGACUUAGGAGCUCGAGGCCAGUCAAGAAAAUUAGCCAGGACAACGAUUCUCAAAGCUCUGGCGAGGAGGAUGACGACGAUGGUUUCGAGAUACUAACCGCGGAGAACUUAUUCUCGACUUUGCUGCAACGUGUGCGUGCUGUUACGAAUCGCAUGAACGUCAACAGUGACCUUACAGCCGGAUUUCCCAGUCAUUCUAGUCGCCUGCUAACGGAUAUCUCGCGGCAGGCACAAGGCCAUAGGUCCUUCUGGGGUCAGGGCAGUCCCUUCGGCAGCCGCCUCAACAGCGCCGGCAACAGCAGCGGUCUCGGUGCACCCUGGCGUCACAGCAUGUCCCGGGACUUGGGUAGCGAAAUGGAGUCGAUGUUCUCACGCACGGGCGCCACGCUGCCAAGAGGUGAAUAUCACAGAAUAAAGAGUAAAUAUUUAGAUCAGUAGGCAGACAACAGGCAACAGAUACCAAGCGAACCGAAGCGAAGCAACUGCAAUUCUCGAUGCGAACACAACGUAAAUCAUAAAAAUAUCAGAUCCAAAAUUGGUUUAUCCUUAACUUCUACCACGCCCACAAAGCAUGUUAUAACCAUUAACAACAGUCCGUUAA